rnacentral:lncRNA from 10 species
GGAAAGAUAACAAACAUAUCCUUGCAGAGCCUAUGGUGUGGGCCAUGAACCGUCCUCUCCCCAAGCCUUUACUUAUAUUCCCAGGCCAACUCCUUUAAAAGAUGGGUCACAGCAUUAUUGUCUCUAAUGUACAAAGAAUUAGUUGUGGCUCCUAGAGUUAACUAACUAGUCAAAUUUACACCAGGAGAAGUGGCUGGGAAAACAAGGUGGGCUCAGAUAUGUUUCACUCCAAAUUCAUGGUCUUCCCAUCACACCUGCAAUGGAUUCACCAACACACAGAGGAUAGUGAAAGUCUCAGUUUAUUUUCUAGUUAGAUUACUAACUUUGUUUACAUGAGGCAACGCACUGUCAUCAAGAAAAAAGAAGACAACAAAGAAGAGAACUGUUUUGCAAUAGCAGGCAGCACAGCGCAGGAGCUCUCAGACUACCUCAGAUGCCAAGAGCCUGGUUUGAAUACAAGCCUUGCCAUUGUGUGACUUUGGGCCAGUGUUUCCAGCCAUCAUGUCAGAGCUGAGUGGAGUGGCACUGGGUGCCAAGGCAAACACCCAGCCCAGCUGUGCUGGGAAGAACUGAGCUCCAAUGUGUCUUGUGACCCAGCUCCUCCCACCCACCUGGCUGUGUCUCCUAUCCUGCAGAGUGCCAGCACCCACUAACCUGUAAAUAGCACCUUGUUCAGGGGGAGUGAUAUUCUUUGGUAAGUGACCGUAAACUGAUUAUACCAAGUCCUUCAAUGGAGAGAUGGUGGUUAAAAAGCAAAACUGAGGCUGGUAAAUUUUUACCAUUUCUUUGUAGACUGUAUGAUUUGGGGCCUUGCUGCUCAAAAUGUGGUCAGCAGCAUUGACAUCACCUGGGAUCUCAUUACAAAUGCAGAAUCUCAGACCUCACUCCAGAUGUGCUGGAUGAGAAUGGCCAUUUUCACAAGCUCCCCAGGAUAUGUGUGCCUGUUAAAGUUUGAGAAGCACUGAUCGGAGGACUUCGGUUAUAAUCCCACCUCCUUCUAUAAGUGAUUAAAGAAAAUUCACUUAUACUCUCCUUUGAACAGCUGUAUGCUUCUCAAUUUCUCUCUCUCUCUCUCUCUCUCACACACACACACACACACACACACUUUAUUUUUCAAUCUCUAUAGACUUGCUUCUUUGUAAGGCUCUCAAUUUCUCCUCCCCAGUGACACAAGCUUGCAUGUGGAUAUAGCUCGUCAUGGUGCCUAUUUAUCUUCAACUUUAUGCAACCUUAGCACUCUUUUACUCAGAAACCUUUUGACUGGGAGAGCAGGGCAAACUCAAAUCCCUACAGAGACCAGGAAGGCAGCAUGGAUGAGUGCAGAAAGCUACAUUUGUUUCAGAAAGGAAUCAGUGUAUAUUCUUUCAGCAGACACAUUUAGUUUGUUUCUUAUAAGCCACUAGAAGAGUCAUUACUUUCACAAAGUCAUAUGCUUAUUCCCAUUUUUCAUAAAAUAUGGCCUAUCUUCAGUUUUCCCAGUUUUGAUACAGAAAAAAAUAUAAGAAAGAUUUUCUAUUUCCUAUAACUAUAAAAGCCCACUAAUAGCACCAGCACAGCCACCCCUGGGCUUCACACAGGGAGUGGCAGGAGCUGUGCAGAUGGAGAGUGCAUACUGGUGUGAAGGGGGCAAUGGAUCUCAGCUCCAGCCAUUGUCUUCAUGCAGGAAUUUGGGACCAUUUUACCGGAUCCUCCCAUUUCUUCAAGAGAAGCCGGAAAUCUGGAUUUCUAUGUGAAAUCUCCCACUUUUUUAUGCUGGCAACUAAUUUUCUUUAAACACUGUGCCAAACAAAACAUACCUGCAGGCCAAAAUCUACACCCUCUGGGCUGGAUUUCAAUGUCUCUUAAACUCUCAACAGAGAGCAUCUUACUGUUUCAGUUCAGGGUAGAUGUCUACCCAUGGUCCCAUCGAGUGGGGUCUGGAUAUGGAAUCAGCUAGAAGAAGCAUAGUCUAUGCCCAUUCUUUCAGCAGGGACUGUGGGCAGGAAACCAUUUCCAAAGAAGCAGGCAUGAGUUGGUGGCCAUACAAAUAUAUAUGUUAUAUUGAUAAAUAUAAAAACAGGAGAUUCUGGGGGACCACAAGUUUUUACAAAUUAGGCUUAUUUUAGGAUAAAUUCACCCUUGUUAGUGUGCAGUUCUGUGAGUUUUGAUAUACAUAUGCAGUCAAGUAACCACUCCCACAAUUAAGAUACAGAAUAAUUCCAUCACCCCCCAAAUUUCUUGUAUGCCCCUUUAUAGCUAGCCCCUGACCCUAACCUCUGGCAAUCACUAAUAUAUUCUCUUUUUCUAUAGGCUUGCUUUUUUUCAAAAUGUCAUAUACAUGGAAUCACACAGUUUAUAGCCUUUUGAGUCUGGCUUAUUUUACUCAGCAUAAUGCCUUUGAGCUUUAACCAUGUAAUUUCAUGUAUCAGUAGUUCAUUCCUAUGUAUUGCUAAGUAAUUUUCCACUGUAUAGAUGCACCACAGUUUGUUUAUCCAUUCACCAAUUAAAGCCAUAAUCAACUUCCAUGUAGAAGUUUGUGUGUGAACACAGUUUUAAUUUAUUUGGGGUUACUACCUAGGAGUGAGAUUCUGGGUCUUAUGGUAAGCAUACAUUUUACUAAGAAACUAUAAAACUCUUUUCCAAAGUGGCUGAACCAUUUGACAUUUCUAACAGCAAUAUUUGAAAGUUCCCAUUGCUCUGUAUCCUCUCCAGUACUUACAUGCUCAGCAUUUUGGUUUGGUCUGGUUUCAUUGUUUCUGAGCUCUUCUGAUAGAUGUGGAGUACACCCCCAUUUUGGAUGAAUUGUGCCAAAUGUGUAGACCAUCCUCAAAAUCUAAGGUCUCAGUAAAAACAAUUAAACAUGAUUUCUGAUAUAAUGUCUUAUCCUUGAAAACCCUGACCCAUCCAUCUUCAGCACAUUCACAUGUGUAAUAAGGUAAGUGAUUUUUAAUUCCACCAGGUUUAAAGACCCCUGACGUGACUUAUUGCCAUUCUGCUACUGAGCCUUGAGAGAUUAUGGUAAGUGCCAAGAAAAAAAAAAUGACUUUGAACUGCUCUUUCACCAGUUAAAAAUAACACUGAAACCAAAUGUAAACAUAAAAGAAGUGGUCAGAUUCGGGUUACAUAUUAACGGUGUUUGGUCAGGCUGGAGCUGAGGCACAGCAGCAGAGAAUGCCUUUUACUUAUCACUGUUUCCAAACCUCCCUACCUGGACUAGGCUUGACUGGAUUUACAAGAGACCUUUUGAAAAGAUGCAGAGAAGGCAAGCAGCACACAUUUCCUGGUAAUAAAUUUUAAAGGUUGCUAAAACAUUCCAGAGAUUUUCACUCAACAUUCCUCUGGCCAACACAUCUGCAAUCUGCCAAUCCUUAAAAAUAGGUGUUUUUGCAUUUUAAUCUCACAAACAUCUUUGAAAAUGCAUUUCUUCUCUGCCCCUGUGUUGGACAAAUCCAGCUUUUUCCAUUUUCUAAAAACCACAGAAAUAUAAUGCUGCUUAAUUCAUACAAGACUGAGCUAACUGGAGUUAAAAUAAAAUUUCUGAGAGUUUGUUUGGCUCACUCUUCCCUACCAGAUGAUUCCAUUCUUAAAACGGUCCUGUGAUUAUAUUCUCUCAUUACAGAGGUGUCCAGAAAAAAAAUAAGGAGUGCAGUUCUGAAAUUAUAUAAAAGCAAAAUUAUUACUCUAAACGUAAGAGCUGUGAUAGAUCGUGUCAUUGACCAUGGUUCUUUUCCCCUGACACACACGUCCCCACCACCCACCCACUGUAUCCAUAUGCCUUUUGCCAUAUGACUUUGCAGCUCUCCCCACUAAAGGGGCAGCCAUGCGAUUUGCUUUGGCCAAUGAAAUGAGGCAGUAGUGGUGGUAUCCUAGUUCUGAGCCUAGGUCUCAAGAAGUCUUAUGUGUUUCUGCUUAUCCUCUUAUACCUCUGCCAUCACCAUGAGCCAAACAUCCCCCAAGUAGCCCACUGGUCCCAGGACAAGGAGGGAGACAUGAAGCAGAGCUCAUCCAGCUGCUGCAGCCCCACUUGACCCAGAGACCUACACUGGGAAGCAGAGCUGCCCAGUCAAGUCCAACCUGGAUGUGUGGAACCCCAGCCAACCUGAUGCAUGAGCAGGAGAUCAGCUUAAUAUUGAAUCCUAGCCUCAAUGCUUUGGAUUUGUGCCAAGAAAAAUAACCUGAUCCCCAGAAUCAUUGAGAAUUGACGGGGGUCCUCAGGCUGUGACUCUGGACAGUGAACAUUGGUGGAAAUUGGUUAUCCCCAAUUUCCAGCUCACGGCAUUGGAAGACAUCAUAAACAUUAAUGGAGAGCGGGAUGCCAGAAUAAGUUGAUCCAAAUGAUGCAGGAAUAUUUAGCAGCAAGGAGAAAGGAAUUCACAUUUCUCAGUACCCACUAUGUGCCAUACUUUGUGAUAAGAUGGUUUCCCUCCAAUAUAUCCUCAUUGUCAGCAAUGUCGGGAAACAGGAAUCAUUUCCCCUUCUACAGGUGAUAAAACUGAAGCAAGAAACAUACAGGCUAACAUCAGCUGAGCUGAGAUUUGAACUCCACUCUUUUUGACCCUGGAGCUGAUGAAUGCUGCUUCUAGAGGUCUACAGGGGCCACCUGCCAAUGUGCAGGGAUUAAAUGAAGAAAUAAAGACCUAAGGCCUUUCUAGAAGCUAAAAACCCUAGGACUCCCUAAACACUUUGGAGUUGCAGCUCCCAUUGGUUAAGAGGUAUGGAUCGCAUAGUUUCAAGCUGAGCCAUGCUUUUCGGAAUACUCUGCUUUUUCUCAUCUUUUUCCACUAUAGUAAUACUAUAAAUGAGAUCUCUUCCAGAAAUAAAGGCAGAAAGCCCCAAGCUCGAUGCUAAAGAUGUUUGUGACAGAGUUCUGCAAGAAUAGGAUAUUUGCAGUCUCGUCUGCGAUAAUCAUUUCAGAAGUGGCUGCUGAUACUG